AACUUUCAGCAACGGAUCUCUUGGCUCUCGCAUCGAUGAAGAACGCAGCGAAAUGCGAUAAGUAAUGUGAAUUGCAGAAUUCAGUGAAUCAUCGAAUCUUUGAACGCACCUUGCGCUCCUUGGUAUUCUGAGGAGCAUGCCUGUUUGAGUGUCAU
rnacentral:rRNA from 5 species